rnacentral:rRNA from 1 species
CAUCGCCGCGGGAAUACGGAGGGUGCAAGCGUUAUCCGGAUUUAUUGGGUUUAAAGGGUCCGUAGGCGGAUCUGUAAGUCAGUGGUGAAAUCUCACAGCUUAACUGUGAAACUGCCAUUGAUACUGCAGGUCUUGAGUAAAUUUGAAGUGGCUGGAAUAAGUAGUGUAGCGGUGAAAUGCAUAGAUAUUACUUAGAACACCAAUUGCGAAGGCAGGUCACUAAGAUUUAACUGACGCUGAUGGACGAAAGCGUGGGGAGCGAACAGGAUUAGAUACCCCCGUAGUCCCUGUCUCUUAUACA